AAGCUAUGGCAUGCUUCUAACACAAAAAACUGACUCAGUUUAACUGAAAACAUUAACAAUUAAAUCUGUUCCACUUGAAAAUCAUUAAACAUUUAGGGAAAAACUUGCAUAAAAUCCUAGCUAAUCUAUUAUUACCAAAUCUGUGAAUCUAGCCAAUUUCUUCAAGAAAUAGGCCACUCUAAACGUCAAUUAGCGUAAUUUGAGUAGCAUCAAGCUUGAGCUGAACUGAUAACAAGAUAGUAACUUCAACUUCUGGAGAUUGGUUUUUUAAAUUUGAUUUUAAAUGCAGUUUCCUUACUUUGAUACUUGGAUGGAAGAAAAUUCAACAUACACAUAUUGCUUUUGAAUGUAAAAUAAAUUUCCAAGUAGUUUUCUUUUUGUUUUCUGAAAUGGUAAAAACACAGAGAAUAAAUGUAGGAUUUAAUUUUCGAGCUUCACUGACUAUAUGAUAUGUACGAAAUUUUACUUUUUUACUGAAUUAGGUCCAUGUACUUCAGUGAAAGAAAGCUUUGACUCAAACAUUAAAAGCUUUCUGUGCAAAACUACCAGUCUGAAAUUAUAAUUUUGCUGUUUGCUAUUCCAUU
rnacentral:lncRNA from 1 species